ACGAUGAAGCUUAGAUGAUUUCUUCGGAAUGAACUUAAGUGGAUUAGUGGCGAACGGGUGAGUAACACGUGAGUAACCUGCCUUACACAAGGGGAUAGCCUCUGGAAACGGAGAAUAAUACCCUAUAAAGUCUAAUCAGCCCAUGCUGGAAAGACCAAAGAUUUAUCGGUGUAAGAUGGACUUGCGUCUGAUUAGCUAGUUGGUGAGAUAAAAGCUCACCAAGGCGACGAUCAGUAGCCGGCUUGAGAGAGUGUACGGCCACAUUGGGACUGAGACACGGCCCAAACUCCUACGGGAGGCAGCAGUGGGGAAUUUUGCACAAUGGGGGAAACCCUGAUGCAGCGACGCCGCGUGAUUUAGAAGGCCUUCGGGUUGUAAAAAUCUUUUUUACGGGAUGAAAAUGACAGUACCGUAAGAAUAAGGUCCGGCUAAAUACGUGCCAGCAGCCGCGGUAAUACGUAUGGACCGAGCGUUGUCCGGAAUCAUUGGGCGUAAAGGGUACGUAGGCGGCCUAGUAAGUUAGAAGUUAAAGAAUAUAGCUCAACUAUAUAAAGCUUUUAAAACUGCUAGGCUUGAGAGAUGGAAGGGAAAGUGGAAUUCCUAGUGUAGCGGUGAAAUGCGCAGAUAUUAGGAAGAAUACCGGUGGCGAAGGCGACUUUCUGGUCAUCAUCUGACGCUGAGGUACGAAAGCGUGGGUAGCAAACAGGAUUAGAUACCCUGGUAGUCCACGCUGUAAACGAUGAGUGUUAGGUUCUUGGAAUAAUCUGGGAGCCGCAGCUAACGCAUUAAACACUCCGCCUGGGGAGUACGCACGCAAGUGUGAAACUCAAAGGAAUUGACGGGGACCCGCACAAGCAGCGGAGCAUGUGGUUUAAUUCGACGCAACGCGAAGAACCUUACCAAGUCUUGACAUAUUUCGGAGGGAAUUAGAGAUAAUUCCUUACGACUUCGGUCGACUGAAAUACAGGUGGNUGCAUGGUUGUCGUCAGCUCGUGUCGUGAGAUGUUGGGUUAAGUCCCAUAACGAGCGCAACCCCUAUCGUUAGUUACCAUCAUUAAGUUGGGGACUCUAGCGAUACUGCCGGUGAUAAACCGGAGGAAGGUGGGGACGACGUCAAAUCAUCAUGCCCUUUAUGACUUGGGCUACACACGUGCUACAAUGGCAGAUACAGAGGGCAGCGAAAGAGUGAUCUGAAGCGAAACUCACAAAAUCUGUCCCAGUUCGGAUUGUACUCUGCAACUCGAGUACAUGAAGUUGGAGUUGCUAGUAAUCGCGAAUCAGAAUGUCGCGGUGAAUGCGUUCCCGGGUCUUGUACACACCGCCCGUCACACCAUGGAAGUUGGCAAUACCCGAAGCCUGUGAGCGAACCUUUUAGGACGCAGCAGUCGAAGGUAGGGUCAG
rnacentral:rRNA from 1 species